rnacentral:rRNA from 1 species
UACGGAGGAUCCAAGCGUUAUCCGGAUUUAUUGGGUUUAAAGGGUGCGUAGGCGGCCUAUUAAGUCAGGGGUGAAAGACGGUAGCUUAACUAUCGCAGUGCCUUUGAUACUGAUGGGCUUGAAUGAACUAGAGGUAGGCGGAAUGUGACAAGUAGCGGUGAAAUGCAUAGAUAUGUCACAGAACACCAAUUGCGAAGGCAGCUUACUAUGGUUUUAAUUGACGCUGAGGCACGAAAGCGUGGGGAUCAAACAGG